GACGAACGCUGGCGGCGUGCUUAACACAUGCAAGUCGAACGGAAAGGCCCUGCUUUUGUGGGGUGCUCGAGUGGCGAACGGGUGAGUAACACGUGAGUAACCUGCCCUUGACUUUGGGAUAACUUCAGGAAACUGGGGCUAAUACCGGAUAGGAGCUCCUGCUGCAUGGUGGGGGUUGGAAAGUUUCGGCGGUUGGGGAUGGACUCGCGGCUUAUCAGCUUGUUGGUGGGGUAGUGGCUUACCAAGGCUUUGACGGGUAGCCGGCCUGAGAGGGUGACCGGCCACAUUGGGACUGAGAUACGGCCCAGACUCCUACGGGAGGCAGCAGUGGGGAAUAUUGCACAAUGGGCGGAAGCCUGAGGCAGCAACGCCGCGUGCGGGAUGACGGCCUUCGGGUUGUAAACCGCUUUCGCCUGUGACGAAGCGUGAGUGACGGUAAUGGGUAAAGAAGCACCGGCUAACUACGUG
rnacentral:rRNA from 1 species